rnacentral:piRNA from 1 species
AAAGCCAUUCAUGAGGAUAGUGACCCCAUGA